UACAUGGGGUGCAAACGUUGCUCGGAAUUAUUGGGCGUAAAGCGCGCGUAGGCGGUUACUUAAGUCGGGUGUGAAAGCCCUCGGCUUAACUGAGGAAGUGCACCCGAAACUGAGUAGCUAGAGUACGAAAGAGGGUCGCGGAAUUCCCGGUGUAGAGGUGAAAUUCGUAGAUAUCGGGAGGAACACCGGUGGCGAAGGCGGCGACCUGGGUCGAGACUGACGCUGAGGCGCGAAAGCGUGGGGAGCAAACAGG
rnacentral:rRNA from 1 species